rnacentral:rRNA from 1 species
AUGGCAAGGGACAGAGGAGGGGCAUGCCACACUAGUCAAAAGCCAGCCGCGUCGGGGGCGUACCCUGUGCCUCCCCGUGACAUGUCCUGCCUGUCUCCGCUCCGGCUGGUGCCCGCUAUGCCCAUUUUGGAGGUGCCUGGUGAGGAGGGAGAACGUCAGAAGGGCUCGGGGAUCACGGCGGCUGACCCUCUCGCUCUGGCGCCAUCUGAGUCCUCCACUCCGCAAUCCCUGACGCCGCGCUCCUCCCUACCCCCUUCUUCGCGCAUAUCCAAGACCAGGGGAGGAGUUGAUGCUGGUGCCCACGGGGCUCCCAUUUCCCCGGUGGCUCUCCUGGACCGCUUCGCUGGCGAGGACUUCAUCGACAACUGCUUGCCAAGCGACGACUGCCUGGCGGCCUUCGACGAGCUCCGUGAGGGUGAUGCUGAUGUGGUGGUGGCGGAUGGUGUGGUGCAGGCCUCGUCCUCCCCGGUGCGGGCCACCAGGUCCAGCAAGCGCACCGCGGCGACCAAGGCCUCCGAUAUGAUGACCAAGGCGAUGUCCAUCAAGGCCGGAAAGUCUCUGGAAGCUUUGGAAGGGGUUGACGAGACAGCGGGACCGCCCCGGCGUGGAACGUCUCACCGCCCGAUUGAAGGCCAAGUGUGCUGA